UUUCUGCUCAGGACGAACGCUGGCGGCGUGCUUAACACAUGCAAGUCGAACGGAAAGGCCCUUCGGGGUGCUCGAGUGGCGAACGGGUGAGUAACACGUGGGUGAUCUGCCCUGCACUUUGGGAUAAGCCUGGGAAACUGGGUCUAAUACCGAAUAUGAUCAUCGGCUUCAUGGUCGGUGGUGGAAAGCUUUUGCGGUGUGGGAUGGGCCCGCGGCCUAUCAGCUUGUUGGUGGGGUAAUGGCCUACCAAGGCGACGACGGGUAGCCGGCCUGAGAGGGUGACCGGCCACACUGGGACUGAGAUACGGCCCAGACUCCUACGGGAGGCAGCAGUGGGGAAUAUUGCACAAUGGGCGCAAGCCUGAUGCAGCGACGCCGCGUGAGGGAUGACGGCCUUCGGGUUGUAAACCUCUUUCAGCACAGACGAAGCGCAAGUGACGGUAUGUGCAGAAGAAGGACCGGCCAACUACGUGCCAGCAGCCGCGGUAAUACGUAGGGUCCGAGCGUUGUCCGGAAUUACUGGGCGUAAAGAGCUCGUAGGUGGUUUGUCGCGUUGUUCGUGAAAACUCACAGCUUAACUGUGGGCGUGCGGGCGAUACGGGCAGACUGGAGUACUGCAGGGGAGACUGGAAUUCCUGGUGUAGCGGUGGAAUGCGCAGAUAUCAGGAGGAACACCGGUGGCGAAGGCGGGUCUCUGGGCAGUAACUGACGCUGAGGAGCGAAAGCGUGGGGAGCGAACAGGAUUAGAUACCCUGGUAGUCCACGCCGUAAACGGUGGGUACUAGGUGUGGGUUUCCUUCCUUGGGAUCCGUGCCGUAGCUAACGCAUUAAGUA
rnacentral:rRNA from 1 species